rnacentral:rRNA from 1 species
GAAGGAUUUUGGUCUGUAAACCUCUUUUCUCAAGAAAGAAGUUCUGACGGUACUUGAGGAAUAAGCAUCGGCUAACUCCGUGCCAGCAGCCGCGGUAAUACGGGGGAUGCAAGCGUUAUCCGGAAUCAUUGGGCGUAAAGCGCCUGUAGGUUGUUUAAUAAGUCUGUUGUUAAAGACUAGGGCUUAACCCUAGAAAAGCAAUGGAAACUACUAGACUAGAGUAUGGCAGGGGUAGAGGGAAUUUCUAGUGUAGCGGUGAAAUGCGUAGAUAUUAGAAAGAACACCGGUGGCGAAAGUGCUCUACUGGACC